GAUGAACGCUGGCGGCGUGCCUAAUACAUGCAAGUCGAGCGAACAGAUGAGGAGCUUGCUCCUCUGACGUUAGCGGCGGACGGGUGAGUAACACGUGGAUAACCUACCUAUAAGACUGGGAUAACUUCGGGAAACCGGAGCUAAUACCGGAUAAUAUAUUGAACCGCAUGGUUCAAUAGUGAAAGACGGUUUUGCUGUCACUUAUAGAUGGAUCCGCGCCGCAUUAGCUAGUUGGUAAGGUAACGGCUUACCAAGGCAACGAUGCGUAGCCGACCUGAGAGGGUUAUCGGCCACACUGGAACUGAGACCCGGUCCAGACUCCUACGGGAGGCAGCAGUAGGGAAUCUUCCGCAAUGGGCGAAAGCCUGACGGAGCAACGCCGCGUGAGUGAUGAAGGUCUUCGGAUCGUAAAACUCUGUUAUUAGGGAAGAACAAAUGUGUAAGUAACUAUGCACGUCUUGACGGUACCUAAUCAGAAAGCCACGGCUAACUACGUG
rnacentral:rRNA from 1 species